GAUGAACGCUGGCGGCGUGCUUAACACAUGCAAGUCGAACGGAAAGGCACUGAUUUUGUGGGGUUCUCGAGUGGCGCACGCGUGAGUAACACGUGAGUAACCUGCCCUUGACUUUGGGAUAACUUCAGGAAACUGGGGCUAAUAUAGGAUAGGAGAUCCUGCAGCAUGGUGGGGGUUGGAAAGUUUCGGCGGUUGGGGAUGGACUCGCGGCUUAUGAGCUUGUUGGUGGGGUAGUGGAUUACCAAGGCUUUGAAGGGUAGCCGGCCUGGGAGGUUGGCCAGCGACAAUGCUCCUACGGUACGGCCCAGUCGCCUACGGUAGGCAGCAGUCGGGAAUAUUGCACAAUGGGCGCAAGCCUGAGGCAGCGACGCCGCGUUCGUAAAGACGUCCUUUUGGUUGUAAACCGCUGUCGCCUGUGACGAAGCGUUAGUGACGGUAAUGGGUAAAGAAGCACCGGCUAACUACGUG
rnacentral:rRNA from 1 species